AGAGUUUGAUCAUGGCUCAGGACGAACGCUGGCGGCGUGCCUAAUACAUGCAAGUCGAGCGGAUCUUCAGGAGCUUGCUCCUGAAGGUUAGCGGCGGACGGGUGAGUAACACGUGGGCAACCUGCCUGUAAGACUGGGAUAACACCGGGAAACCGGUGCUAAUACCGGAUAAUUCUUUUCUUCACAUGAAGGAAAGCUGAAAGACGGCGUAAGCUGUCACUUACAGAUGGGCCCGCGGCGCAUUAGCUAGUUGGUGAGGUAACGGCUCACCAAGGCGACGAUGCGUAGCCGACCUGAGAGGGUGAUCGGCCACAUUGGGACUGAGACACGGCCCAAACUCCUACGGGAGGCAGCAGUAGGGAAUCUUCCGCAAUGGACGAAAGUCUGACGGAGCAACGCCGCGUGAGUGAUGAAGGCCUUCGGGUCGUAAAACUCUGUUGUUAGGGAAGAACAAGUACCGGAGUAACUGCCGGUACCUUGACGGUACCUAACCAGAAAGCCACGGCUAACUACGUGCCAGCAGCCGCGGUAAUACGUAGGUGGCAAGCGUUGUCCGGAAUUAUUGGGCGUAAAGCGCGCGCAGGCGGUCCUUUAAGUCUGAUGUGAAAGCCCACGGCUCAACCGUGGAGGGUCAUUGGAAACUGGGGGACUUGAGUGCAGAAGAGGAAAGCGGAAUUCCACGUGUAGCGGUGAAAUGCGUAGAGAUGUGGAGGAACACCAGUGGCGAAGGCGGCUUUCUGGUCUGUAACUGACGCUGAGGCGCGAAAGCGUGGGGAGCAAACAGGAUUAGAUACCCNNGUAGUCC
rnacentral:rRNA from 1 species